ensembl:lncRNA
AACUUUUAUUGAAAUAUUCCACAACAAUUUGGGGUCAUGAACAGGAUACACUGACCGUCCGGGGAAAGGGCCCUUUCCAGGAUCACCAGCUGAUGAUCCUGCCUCAUACCUCCUUAGACAAGAGAGAAAGGACCGGCGGAAACCAGAGGAGUCCUGGUUGACGUCACGUGUAUCCAGCAGAAAAGAAUUCAUUUCUACAAACUCUGGUAAGAAGUUGAAAUUCCAAUUAUAAAGUAUGUUUAAGAACAUAACGGACACAGAUGACUGAUCAAGUGGUUGUGAUAGUUUGGGGAAUUAUUUUUUUAUUUUGAAGUAUUGUACAUGAUUCCGGAAUAUUUCCAAAGCAUCACUUCAUGCGGAUGUAGAUAGGAUUGUGUACGAUUAGGUUUUCACUCGGAACAAAUUCUCUGAGGUCGUAACGCAGAUCGCUUGACUACCCAGGUGAAAUAGGACCGUUGUUAUUCCCCAUUACGUGAAUUCUACUAAAAUAACUGUGAUAUUGAUAAUAACCGGGGUGAUAUCCAAACGUGAAUUCUACUGAAUUAACUCUCGAAUAAGAUUGUGGUAAUAACCUAACGUGAGUUUUCGCAAAGUUUUUCCUUGUAUAAAGAAACUACGCCUUGCGGUGACAACUGUAUUGUAAUAAGUAAACCGGUUGGGUCCAACGCCAGUAAAAGAUGGGUGGCCAGAACGCAAAGCAAACGGACCCCUCGGGUCCAAUUGUGGAAAUGAUGCAGCAGAAAUACGGGAAAACAUGUACGGAGUGUCUCCCAUUCUGGACAAAAGAGUUUGGGUUUCCAAAAAAACGGCUCGUUGAGUGCCGCUAAACUUAAAAUGUUACGAGGACUUUUGGAAGCAAGUGGUAAAAAGAUCAUAGUUAAAGAUUUAGAAAUAAUAGAGAAAAACCAGACAUGUCUGGCACAAUGGGAAAUGGAAUGUGAAUGCAGGGAGAGAAAACAAACGAUGAAGCAAAUGACGUGUUUAAAACCUGAAAAGCCUGAC